AACGCACAUUGCGCCCUUUGGUAUUCCGAAGGGCAUGCCUGUUCGAGCGUCAUUAGACCAAUCAAGCUAUGCUUGGCUUUGGGCGGUCGUCCCCGUUCGCGGCGGGCGCGCCCCAAAUGACCCCCGGCGAAGUCGAUCCGGCCCUGGGCGUAGUAGAAAUUAUCACGUCGAGAGGGUCCGGAGGGCUUCUGCCGCCGAAACACCCAACUUUUUUUCAAAGGUUGACCUCGGAUCAGGUAGGGAUACCCGCUGAACUUAA
rnacentral:misc_RNA from 1 species